CAGACGGCAGCUGGCGGUAAUCCAGUUUUGCACUCUGUGGCUCAUGUUACUGCAGUUUCACAAGCGUGUCAGAGAACUACGGUGGCCUUCAGGUAACAUAAAAACAUGAAAGUGUCUCUCUAGAGCCAGAGUUUGGUCUGUCCGUUCUGGGAUACUGUAGAAACAAUGCGGCGAAACAUGGCGGACUCCAUGAAGAGGACCCGCUCCCUAUUGUAGAUAUAAACGGCUCAUUCUAAGCUAA